UACAGAGGGUGCAAGCGUUAAUCGGAAUUACUGGGCGUAAAGCGCACGUAGGCGGACUGAUCAGUUGGGGGUGAAAGCCCAGGGCUCAACCCUGGAACUGCCUUCAAUACUGUCAGUCUUGAGUCCGAGAGAGGUGAGUGGAAUUUCCAGUGUAGAGGUGAAAUUCGUAGAUAUUGGAAAGAACACCAGUGGCGAAGGCGGCUCACUGGCUCGGUACUGACGCUGAGGUGCGAAAGUGUGGGGAGCAAACAGG
rnacentral:rRNA from 1 species